UCUCUAGUCCCGAUUGUGAGCAAGGAGGAGAGCUCGGUUGGAGUUUCGUCGUCGACGUCGCGCCGCGGGAUCGUUCGAGCACGUAUUUGACGCCGGGACAUCGCGAGGAGACCGGGCGAGCGUGCAACUUCGCCGUUCUUGACGUCGCACCGGUGCUAAUCGCUGUCGAGCUCGCUCUCGGCGUAGGAGCAUUGGAUUUCGACGAGGCUUGGUUCGUUGGAUUCGGAACUUCGAAAGGAAUCCACGAAGCCCUUACUUGCGAAUUUUGGUAAAGAGCUCGGGCUUAGGCGAUUUCUGUACUCGGCGGGUUCCGGGUGAUCCAGCAGGUUGCACUACACCAGGGGGAGUCCUUCGCUGCCAGGGAUUAGCA